GAAAUGCGAUAACUAGUGUGAAUUGCAGAAUUCCGUGAAUCAUCGAGUCUUUGAACGCACAUUGCGCCCCCUGGUAUUCCGGGGGGCAUGCCUGUCCGAGCGUCAUUGCUGCCCAUCAAGCACGGCUUGUGUGUUGGGUCGUCGUCCCCUCUCCGGGGGGGACGGGCCCCAAAGGCAGCGGCGGCACCGCGUCCGAUCCUCGAGCGUAUGGGGCUUUGUCACCCGCUCUGUAGGCCCGGCCGGUGCUUGCCGAACGCAAAUCAAUCUUUUUCCAGGUUGACCUCGGAUCAGGUAGGGAUACCCGCUGAACUUAAGC
rnacentral:misc_RNA from 1 species